rfam:Echinostoma caproni strain Egypt genome assembly, scaffold: ECPE_scaffold0018518
GGAUUGCUGACGAGUACAAACCAGGACGAAACAGUUGUCCAAUAC